GGCUCUGUGGUGCAAUGGACAGCAUUAGUUAUAUAGACCAAAAGGUAUUCAAAGGUUGUGGGUUCAGGUCCCUCCAGAGUCA